GCCUCUUUAGCUCAGUUGGUAGAGCUCCUGAUUUGUAAUCAGACGGUCGCUGGUUCGAGUCCGGCAAGAGGCUCAA
rnacentral:tRNA from 2 species